rnacentral:lncRNA from 1 species
AGGGAGUUCCCGACCCUCAGCUCCGUUCUGCAGGCCAGCACCCGCGGUGCCUGCCCAACCAAACAAGAGGCCCAGACCAGCCAUCCAGGCCCCUCCUCAGGCUCUAGGGGCAGCACGUGGGAAGAUCUGUCAACACUGUGGUAGAAAUCACGGGGACCGACCCUGCUACCGCCUCAACAACACUUGUCGCAUUUGUGGCAGUGCCCAGCAUUAUGCCAGAGAAUGCCUGAGGAACCACAAUCAAGGGAGGCCUCCUAUCCAGGGCAGAGCUUACAACCUUACCCAGCAGGAUGCCGGCGCCGACCCGGAUGUGGUACAGGGUAUGUAUACUAUCUGUGACCGUAU